ACCAGGCAUGGUGGUGUGUGCCUACAGUCCCAGCUACUCGGGAGGCUGAGAUGGGAGGAUCACUUGAGCCCAGGAGUUCUCGGCCGCAGUGCGCUAUGCCGAUAGGUUGUCCGCACUAAGUUCGGCAUUGAUAUGGUAACCUCCCAGAAGCGGGGACCACCAGGUGGCCUAAGGAGGGGUGAACCGGCCCAGGUCAGAAACGGAGCGGGUCAAAACUCCUGUGCUUAUCAGUAGUGGGAUCUCGCCUGUGAAUAGCCACUACACUCCAGCCUGGGCAACAUAGCGAGACAUUGUCUCU
rnacentral:SRP_RNA from 1 species